rnacentral:rRNA from 1 species
GGAUACGAGACGCAACCGCAUGGUUAGUGUCUGGAAAGAUUUUUCGGUUUGGGAUGGGCUCGCGGCCUAUCAGCUUGUUGGUGAGGUAAUGGCUCACCAAGGCGUCGACGGGUAGCCGGCCUGAGAGGGUGACCGGCCACACUGGGACUGAGACACGGCCCAGACUCCUACGGGAGGCAGCAGUGGGGAAUAUUGCACAAUGGGCGGAAGCCUGAUGCAGCAACGCCGCGUGAGGGAUGACGGCCUUCGGGUUGUAAACCUCUUUUAGCAGGGAAGAAGCGAAAGUGACGGUACCUGCAGAAAAAGCGCCGGCUAACUACGUGCCAGCAGCCGCGGUAAUACGUAGGGCGCAAGCGUUAUCCGGAAUUAUUGGGCGUAAAGAGCUCGUAGGCGGUCUGUCGCGUCUGCUGUGAAAACCCGAGGCUCAACCUCGGGCCUGCAGUGGGUACGGGCAGACUAGAGUGCGGUAGGGGAGAUUGGAAUUCCUGGUGUAGCGGUGGAAUGCGCAGAUAUCAGGAGGAACACCGAUGGCGAAGGCAGAUCUYUGGGCCGUAACUGACGCUGAGGAGCGAAAGGGUGGGGAGCAAACAGGCUUAGAUACCCUGGUAGUCCACCCCGUAAACGUUGGGAACUAGUUGUGGGGUCCUUUCCACGGAUUCCGUGACGCAGCUAACGCAUUAAGUUCCCCGCCUGGGGAGUACGGCCGCAAGGCUAAAACUCAAAGGAAUUGACGGGGACCCGCACAAGCGGCGGAGCAUGCGGAUUAAUUCGAUGCAACGCGAAGAACCUUACCAAGGCUUGACAUACACGAGAACGCUGCAGAAAUGUAGAACUC